rnacentral:rRNA from 1 species
CACGUAGGGCGCAAGCGUUGUCCGGAAUUAUUGGGCGUAAAGAGCGUGUAGGCGGCUCGGUAAGUCCGCUGUGAAAGUCGGGGGCUCAACCCUCGAAUGCCGGUGGAUACUGUCGAGCUAGAGUGCGGAAGAGGCGAGUGGAAUUCCUGGUGUAGCGGUGAAAUGCGCAGAUAUCAGGAGGAACACCGAUUGCGAAGGCAGCUCGCUGGGACGUUACUGACGCUGAGACGCGAAAGCGUGGGGAGCAAACAGG